CACUGAGUUACAACCAGAGCUUGCACCCCCAACUCUUCUCUCCCCGGUUCCUCUAUUUCUCUCUCCCGUCUGAAUGGCGGCAUCCAGUGAUGGUGUAUCCGGCUGCAAUUUGUUCUUGUUGGCUGGGGUGGUUUUAAGAAUUACAAGCUUGUUAAGUUUGUAAAGGAGGAAGACAAUUAUGCGGAGAAUAAUGUACCAAGAGUCAUGGAAUUUUCAUGGCAAAGUCUUUACCGAAAGAGAACGGAGCCGUAUGACACAUUGCAGAAGGUGCAUGUUUUGAUUGCACUAGUUGUUGCACCUCCAGAUAUGACCUUGUUCAUUUUCGUCUCAAAGUCAUGUCCUCUUUUGGAGCCUGCAGCUAGGAAGCCUUUGAUGACUUGGCUCCUGGGUUUUCCGUUGGCCCAAUUAUCGCAUUUGUUGUAGUUGAUGGAGCAUUGGAGGUCGAGCCUCUCCCAUCAUUCUUGGACUUUCCUAGUUGCUCUAAGUUCUUCUUAUGUGUCAUGUACAAUUUCUUUGAGAAGAGUGUGAUACCACCAAGUGAAAGGAAAGUUGAGCUUGCUCCAAA